rnacentral:rRNA from 1 species
GGUGAGUAAUGUAUAGGAAUCUACCUAGUAGUACGGAAUAAUUGUUGGAAACGGCAACUAAUACCGUAUACGCCCUACGGGGGAAAGAUUUAUCGCUAUUAGAUGAGCCUAUAUUAGAUUAGCUAGUUGGUAAGGUAAUGGCUUACCAAGGCAAUGAUCUAUAGCUGAUCUGAGAGGAUGAUCAGCCACACUGGAACUGAGAUACGGUCCAGACUCCUACGGGAGGCAGCAGUGGGGAAUAUUGGACAAUGGGCGAAAGCCUGAUCCAGCCAUGCCGCAUGAGUGAAGAAGGCCUUUGGGUUGUAAAGCUCUUUCGGUGAGGAAGAUAAUGACGGUACUCACAGAAGAAGUCCUGGCUAACUCCGUGCCAGCAGCCGCGGUAAUACGGAGAGGGCUAGCGUUAUUCGGAAUUAUUGGGCGUAAAGAGCGCGUAGGCUGGUUAGUAAGUUAAAAGUGAAAUCCCAAAGCUCAACUUUGGAAUUGCUUUUAAAACUGCUAACCUAGAGAUUGAAAGAGGAUAGAGGAAUUCCUAGUGUAGAGGUGAAAUUCGUAAAUAUUAGGAGGAACACCAGUGGC